GAUGAACGCUGGCGGCGUGCUUAACACAUGCAAGUCGAACGGAAAGGCUCCUGCUUGCAGGGGUACUCGAGUGGCGAACGGGUGAGUAACACGUGGGUGAUCUGCCCUGCACUUCGGGAUAAGCCUGGGAAACUGGGUCUAAUACCGGAUAGGACGAUGGUUUGGAUGCCAUUGUGGAAAGUUUUUCGGUGUGGGAUGAGCUCGCGGCCUAUCAGCUUGUUGGUGGGGUAAUGGCCUACCAAGGCGUCGACGGGUAGCCGGCCUGAGAGGGUGUACGGCCACAUUGGGACUGAGAUACGGCGCAGACGCCUACGGGAGGCAGCAGUGGGGAAUAUGGCACAAUGGGCGCAAGCCUGAUGCAGCGACGCCGCGUGGGGGAUGACGGCCUUCGGGUUGUAAACUCCUUUCGCUAGGGACGAAGCGCAAGUGACGGUACCUGGAGAAGAAGCACCGGCUAACUACGUG
rnacentral:rRNA from 1 species